UACAGAGGUCUCAAGCGUUGUUCGGAUUCAUUGGGCGUAAAGGGUGCGUAGGUGGUCUAUUAAGUCAGGGGUGAAAUCCCGCGGCCCAACCGUGGAACGGCCUUUGAUACUGAUGGACUUGAGUGCGUGAGGGGUAGGGGGAACGAGCAGUGUAGCGGUGAAAUGCGUAGAUAUUGCUCGGAAGGCCAGAGCCGAAGGGGCCCUACUGGUACGUAACUGACACUGAGGCACGAAAGCGUGGGGAGCAAACAGG
rnacentral:rRNA from 1 species